rnacentral:rRNA from 1 species
ACUCCUACGGGAGGCAGCAGUGAGGAAUUUUGCGCAAUGGGCGAAAGCCUGACGCAGCAACGCCGCGUGAGUGAUGAAGGCCUUCGGGUCGUAAAGCUCUGUCAAGUGGGAAGAACCUAUAUAAUGUUAAUAUCAUUAUAUACUGACGGUACCACUGAAGGAAGCACCGGCUAACUCCGUGCCAGCAGCCGCGGUAAUACGGGGGUGCAAGCGUUAUUCGGAAUCAUUGGGCGUAAAGAGCACGUAGGCGGCCUGGUAAGUCAGAUGUGAAAGCCCGGGGCUUAACCCCGGAAGUGCAUUUGAUACUGUCAGGCUUGAGUAUGGGAGAGGGAAGUGGAAUUCCUGGUGUAGAGGUGAAAUUCGUAGAUAUCAGGAGGAACACCGGUGGCGAAGGCGACUUCCUGGACCAAUACUGACGCUGAGGUGCGAAGGCGUGGGUAGCAAACAGGAUUAGAUACCCCUGGUAGCGACUGA